rnacentral:rRNA from 1 species
UACGUAGGGGGCUAGCGUUGUCCGGAAUCACUGGGCGUAAAGGGCGCGUAGGCGGCCCUGGUAAGUCUGCGGUGAAAGCCCGGGGCUCAACCCCGGGUCGGCCGCGGGUACUGCCGGGCUGGAGUGCCGUAGGGGCAGGCGGAAUUCCGGGUGUAGCGGUGGAAUGCGUAGAGAUCGAGAGGAACACCAGUGGCGAAGGCGAGUUCCUGGACAAGUCCUGACGCUGAGGCACGAAAGCCAGGGGAGCAAACAGG